rnacentral:misc_RNA from 1 species
AACGGUCUCGGAGGGUAUAUGAGAAGGGAGCAAAUCCGGCCGAGCCUGAAAGGGCGAGGGAAAACCGGACGAGCAACCUCUCGUACCUGAUCUUGAAGACUUCCACUGCGUGUCCCUCUGUACAGCUUUGCAGGCUCCGGCCUCGGCAGCGGGGGGUUCAUAGUGGUCGUCGACCUCCACGAAACUGCACGCUCCGGCGUGACAGCGUACUGGGGAUGCCUGUGUUUACGCAGUCCGGGCUUGCCUGGACCGCCAGCAGAUGGGCUCUGUGGAUGACUGGCCGCUGGCUAGACCUGAAACCUGAGCAACGGGAGGUAACCUCUCGCCGCGGACACCGGAAUGGUAGAAGCGGCGUGCUGCGUCCUCCUCUUGGGGCC